rnacentral:rRNA from 1 species
UACAGAGGGGGCAAGCGUUGUUCGGAAUUACUGGGCGUAAAGGGCGCGUAGGCGGCCCUCUAAGUCAGACGUGAAAUCCCUCGGCUCAACCGGGGGAGGCCGUCGGGGACCUCGCGGCUGGAGGCCGGUAGGGGCGAGCGGAAUUCCCGGUGUAGUGGUGGAAUGCGUAGAGAUCGGGAGGAACACCGGUGGCGGAGGCGGCUCGCUGGGCCGGUCCUGACGCUCGGGCGCGAAGGCCAGGGGAGCAAACGGG